UACGUAGGGUGCAAGCGUUAAUCGGAAUUACUGGGCGUAAAGCGUGCGCAGGCGGUUCUUUAAGACACAUGUGAAAUCCCCGGGCUCAACCUGGGAACUGCAUUUGUGACUGUAGAGCUGGAGUACGGCAGAGGGGGAUGGAAUUCCGCGUGUAGCAGUGAAAUGCGUAGAUAUGCGGAGGAACACCGAUGGCGAAGGCAAUCCCCUGGGCCUGUACUGACGCUCAUGCACGAAAGCGUGGGGAGCAAACAGG
rnacentral:rRNA from 1 species